rnacentral:rRNA from 1 species
GACGAACGCUGGCGGCGUGCCUAAUACAUGCAAGUCGAGCGGACCACAAAGAAGCUUGCUUCUGAGUGGUUAGCGGCGGACGGGUGAGUAACACGUGGGCAACCUGCCCGUAAGACCGGGAUAACUUCGGGAAACCGGAGCUAAUACCGGAUAACACCGAAGAUCGCAUGAUCUUUGGUUGAAAGGCGGCUUUAGCUGUCACUUACGGAUGGGCCCGCGGCGCAUUAGCUAGUUGGUGAGGUAACGGCUCACCGAGGCGACGAUGCGUAGCCGACCUGAGAGGGUGAUCGGCCACACUGGGACUGAGACACGGCCCAGACUCCUACGGGAGGCAGCAGUAGGGAAUCUUCCGCAAUGGACGAAAGUCUGACGGAGCAACGCCGCGUGAGCGAAGAAGGUCUUCGGAUUGUAAAGCUCUGUUGUUAGGGAAGAACAAGUACCGUUCGAAGAGGGCGGUACCGUGACGGUACCUAACGAGAAAGCCACGGCUAACUACGUGCCAGCCGCCGCUGUAACAC